GUACUGCCCAGGGGAUGUGGUGACCCCAAGGAUGUACAGCUCUGCAGCUCUGCCUGAAGGGGCUAUUUGAAACAGAGAAUGGAGAACUCCAUGCCUAAGGAUGUUAUCGAAAACAAGGGAAGUCUUGGUGGAGAAUAAGAAGAAGCCAGUAGCUCCAGGAUACAAACAAAACAGCAGAGCAUUCAGAAGUUCAAUAGACAGAAUCGGACAAAGAGCAGCCAGGAAAAGCCCUCCUGGGAUCACAGUCAACACAAGAAUGGACCUUCAUUGAAAAUCUGGUUCAGAUGUCAAGACAGAUACCAUACCUACAUCAACGAGAUCCAGGAGUACAGAAGAUCAAUGUCAAGACCCCCGCUGCGACUCAACAUACAUGAAUUUGAAUCAGUAACCACCUUCUGGUACAAAGCCUACUUCUCUCAAAGUGCUGUCUUUCUGCUCAAGGUUUUUGGUGAAGCCCCAUGAGAACAAUGACCCAGUCACUGCUUGGAAGCCCUGUUGAUCAGAGCCUCAUAGAUAGUCAAGGCUUUCCCUAUAAC